rnacentral:rRNA from 1 species
GUCUACAGCCAUGCCACCCUGAACAUGCCCGAUCUUGUCUGAUCUUGGAAGCUAAGGAGGGUCAGGCCUAGUCAGUACUUGGAUGGGAGACAAUCUAGGAAUACCAGGUGCUGUAGGUG